GAUGAACGCUAGCUACAGGCUUAACACAUGCAAGUCGAGGGGCAGCAUUCCAGUUUGCUUGCAAACUGGAGAUGGCGACCGGCGCACGGGUGAGUAACACGUAUCCAACCUGCCGAUAACUCGGGGAUAGCCUUUCGAAAGAAAGAUUAAUACCCGAUGGCAUAAUAGAACCGCAUGGUUUGAUUAUUAAAGAAUUUCGGUUAUCGAUGGGGAUGCGUUCCAUUAGGCAGUUGGUGGGGUAACGGCCCACCAAACCUUCGAUGGAUAGGGGUUCUGAGAGGAAGGUCCCCCACAUUGGAACUGAGACACGGUCCAAACUCCUACGGGAGGCAGCAGUGAGGAAUAUUGGUCAAUGGACGAGAGUCUGAACCAGCCAAGUAGCGUGAAGGAUGACUGCCCUAUGGGUUGUAAACUUCUUUUAUAUGGGAAUAAAGUGGUCCACGUGUGGAUUUUUGUAUGUACCAUAUGAAUAAGGAUCGGCUAACUCCGUGCCAGCAGCCGCGGUAAUACGGAGGAUCCGAGCGUUAUCCGGAUUUAUUGGGUUUAAAGGGAGCGUAGGUGGACAGUUAAGUCAGUUGUGAAAGUUUGCGGCUCAACCGUAAAAUUGCAGUUGAUACUGGCUGUCUUGAGUACAGUAGAGGUGGGCGGAAUUCGUGGUGUAGCGGUGAAAUGCUUAGAUAUCACGAAGAACUCCGAUUGCGAAGGCAGCUCACUGGACUGCAACUGACACUGAUGC
rnacentral:rRNA from 1 species